UACGUAGGGAGCAAGCGUUGUCCGGAAUCAUUGGGCGUAAAGAGCGUGUAGGCGGCCAGGUAGGUCUGCUGUGAAAACUCGAGGCUUAACCUCGAGCUGUCGGCGGAAACCAUCUGGCUAGAGUCCGGAAGAGGAGAAUGGAAUUCCCGGUGUAGCGGUGAAAUGCGCAGAUAUCAGGAGGAACACCGGUGGCGAAGGCGGGUCUCUGGGCCGAUACUGACGCUGAGGAGCGAAAGCGUGGGGAGCGAACAGG
rnacentral:rRNA from 1 species